rnacentral:rRNA from 1 species
AUGAAGCAUGGUUGUGUCUUCAGUGCGCACCGCCGGAUGAACGACAUGCUAGGACACGCUAUCCCUGAUUUAUGCCGAUUCAGCUUGGAUGAGUCUCCAUCAUGUGGAACCGGACUAGAAAGCUGCGACAAUGAUUCCCAUUGCCCACCGCUAUGGAUCAUGCCAUCCAUGAAGAACACCUGGGACUGGAACCUGGAGGAGGACUUUUGUUGCACGGGCUCCAACAUGCUCUUUGACAAAAAAAGCCUUACCCAGUACUACCAUCACUUCUUGUUCCUCCUCUCUUCUUCUUCCUCCUCUCUUCCCCAUCGUCGGCCGCACACCAUUUACCCCCGCUCACUGCUCGCCCACCCGCGCCAUCUUCCUUGUAAGUCGAAGAAGGAUUGGCCGGUGCUCCCGGCUGGCGUCAAGUCCGAUCCCAUGGAUCAGGAGCUGAUCGAGCACCUUGAGGCCAAAGUGAGUGCUGACAGCGCGAGAUUCCAGUCUCUCAUCGAUUUGUUCAUACCAACCAUCGACAGCGAGCACGUCAUAUGCUACACCCAACCUGAGAAACUUCCAGCAAAAAAGGUUCUGGUGCUGCACACCAACAAGAACUUCGACCAGCAGAGGACCAACUGGGUGAUGCACCAGUACCACCUCGGGGACCUCGAGCAAGAGAAGGAGCGGGAGCUGUUGUACUAUCUUGUCAUCCGCAAGUUGGUAUUGUUGUUAACGAUCUUUUGGUCGAGCAAGUUUCAACUGGACUGUAGACUGCCCAGGGUUGGUUUUGUUUUUAACAGGCCCAGCCCAUGA